rnacentral:rRNA from 1 species
UACGUAGGGGGCAAGCGUUGUCCGGAUUUAUUGGGCGUAAAGAGCUCGUAGGUGGUUCGGUAAGUCGGAUGUGAAAUCUCCAGGCUCAACCUGGAGGGGUCAUUCGAUACUGCCGUGACUAGAGGUCGGUAGGGGAGUGUGGAAUUCCUGGUGGAGCGGUGAAAUGCGCAGAUAUCAGGAGGAACACCCGUAGCGAAGGCGGCACUCUGGGCCGAUACUGACACUGAGGAGCGAAAGCGUGGGAGCGAACAGG